AGUGAACGCUGGCGGUAGGCCUAACACAUGCAAGUCGAACGGCAGCACAGUAAGAGCUUUCUCUUACGGUUGGCGAGUGGCGGGCGGGUGAGGAAUACAUCGGAAUCUACUUUUUCGUGGGUGAUAACGUAGGGAAACUUACGCUAAUACCGCAUACGACCUACGGGUGAAAUCAGGGGAUCUUCGGACCUUGCCCGAUUGAAUUAGCCGGGGUCGGCUUAGCUAGUGGGAGGGGUAAAGGCCCACCAGGGCGACGAUCCGUAGCUGGUCUGAGAGGAUGAUCACCAACACUGGAAUGGAGAAACGGCCCAGACCCCUACGGGAGGAAGCAGUGGGGAAUAUUGGAAAAUGGGGGAAACCUUGAGCAAGACAGACCGGGUGGGUGAAGAAGGCCUUCGGGCUGUAAAGUCUGUUUGUUGGGAAAAACAAGCAGCAGGUUAAUACCCCGCUGUUCUGACGGUACCAAAAGAAUAAGCACCGGCUAAUUUCGU
rnacentral:rRNA from 1 species